AGCUAAUAAACUUUAAAAGUAUAUGUUUUGAAAACAUAAAAUAGAAGUUAAAAUCUUC
rnacentral:tRNA from 1 species